rnacentral:lncRNA from 1 species
CAGAAAAAACACUAAGCUUUACACAUUUAGAUGGCUGGGCGGGUUGGGUGUGGGUCUAGAGAUAGCAGGGAUUCAAACUGUAGAACCCAAUUCCUACAUUUGAAUAUAAAAAUGUAUUCUAUCAAACAAAACGAUGCUACAUUUAGUCUCUGGGAACCUCAGGAUGACAAAUCAGAGCAAGAUUCCUGAAUAAUAAUAGUGAUGGAGUGUUGCAUCAAAUGACCUGGCCUCCACAAUCACCUGACCUCAAACCAAUUGAGAUGGUUUGGGAUGAGUUGGACCGCAGAGUGAAGAAAAAGCAGCCAACAGGCAUACGUGGGAACUUCUUCAAAACUGUUGGAAAAGCAUUCCAGAUCUAUGUUCAUGAUGGAGGAAGGGACAGAUCUAAAGAACAGCAGCACAGGGGGACAGAAGUUCAAGGAUGAUGACUCCUCUCUAACCCUGCUCUGCUGUGUCUCUCUCUCUCUUUCUCUGCUCUCUCUCUCUUUCUCUCGCUCUCUCUCUCUCUUUCUCUCGCUGUGCGGCUUGCCUCCUUGGACUCCUCGGUACACCCGAUGGGUUACAUCUGUCAGGGAAUUAAGUUAAAGUGGGCUGUCCGCACUGCUAGACUUACACACACUCAUACACACAAGACCCAGUGAGUUACGUACAAUAUGAAAUAACCAAAGACUGGGUUUUAAUCAAAUCUGAGGGGAAAAGUUGGCCUUUCACGUAAAUGGUGACGAGCUGACUGAUUUAAUGUGAUGUAUAGCCAGGAAUGUAUUCCUUGGUUCCUUAUUUUCACCACCAGACAACCUCUAAGCUGCACGGCCAUCUGGGAGCAGCCUUUCCUAACUCCGUACCCAAAACCCACAGUCCUCAACAAGGGACCAAAAGAAGGGA